GGGUUUGUUUGGGAUUUGAACCCAGGACCUCUCACAUCCAAAGCGAGAAUCAUACCCCUAAACCAACAAACC
rnacentral:tRNA from 1 species